GAAUAAGGCCCGCGGUCCUUAGUUUAGAAAUCAUUGUUUUAAGAAAAUUGAUCUGUAUACGAUAGAAGUGUGGCUGAGCCUGAUCCCAAAGUGCAUCAAGUUAACAAUUAUAUUUGUUUGACAUGUUUCGGAUGUUCCUCCAGAAUUGAAGAUUAUUACAUCCUGGCCCAGACCCAGUCUUAAGCCACUGCAACCUAUGCGGUCGCAGUGGGCCCCGCGCUUUUAUAUGCCCCGCGCUAAUUUUAUGUGUAAUUGUUAAUUGCAAAAUAUAUACGAAAAAUUCCUGGAAAUAACCUGCACUUAUUAAAAUUUCCUGAAAACUCAUAAAAAUCUCAUGAAAAAUAGACAAAAUUACCAUCUGUGUGUGUCAUUCAUUAUGGGAAACGCCAUUCCUACGCGCGAUAAAAAAAAAAAAGACAUUCUCAGCUUUCAUGUAAUAAAAUGUAAUAAUCGGACGAAUUUUGCCCUUAACCGGAAGUUCCAAUACGUAUUUACUUUUAUUGUUACUUGCAUAUAAAUAUGCCAUUGGUUGCAAGAUUGGUAAAGUAAAAUUAACUUGAUCGCAAUUUUGUACUUAGAAAAGAAUGAGUAAAAUGCAAAGCCGAAUUUAUUUUCUAUUACAAAAUCUUAAUUUUCACUUAUUAUCCUUAUUCCCACCCAGACUAGGCCCUGCGCAAUUAGUUUCGCAUAGGGCCCCGCAAUCGCUAAGACCGGCCCUGCCCAAACCUCAAGCAGGACGGCGUCAGCAGGCAGGGUUUGAACCAGGAACCAUCGAGGCCACCAUGUGUCCCAAUCUGUUGUAGUGCCAGAAUGAUGAAAGGAAACACACUACAUGAGAGAACCCAAUAGGUAACAUUUUCUGUAGCAACAAUUUAUCCAGAAUACUAUCGCUCGACUAUAACAAGAAAUCCAUCCACGCAAAAGGCUGAGCUGGGCACACAAUGCGUAGAGCUACAGACAGCAUGGCAAGACAGGCUAAAGACUAGUAGUAGAAAAUGGUUGGGAGACCAAAGUAAACUGGAAUUGCCCAGAACAGAGUCCCAUGUCUAAGCACUGUUACGGCCCUAACUAUGCUCCACUGGUGGUCAGAAGAAUCAAGUUAUAGCUCACAAAGACUUUCUGUAGGGAACAACUCCAGUGAAAAGUCGGACAGGCCAAAAAAAAAAAAGAGAAAACAUCAAGGAAUCUAAUGUUAAUGAAAAAUACUCUAAUCCUGGCAAAAAUCGGAGAAGAAUGGAGAAAGAUAGUCAGCAGAUCAUAUGUGAUUCCCAAACGGUCCAAAAGGCUAAGGGACAGGUGAAGGUAAAUGUAGCUACAACUCAGCAAACAUGCACUUACAGGUGAUUACAAACGACGUGCACAAUUUUAAGAACAAAACAAAAUUGUUCAAUACACUAGCGAGAACAAAGAUGAUUCCGAGAAGCUUAGGUUAUUCAAAGAAUACUUUUAAUUUAUAAUAUAUAACUGGCUUGAAGAAGUAUUAGUCAUUGUAUAGGAUGUUUCGAUGUUCCAUACAGCGCCUAGGCAAGUAGGAAAGCAUGACACAAUAAAUACGAGGGGGAAGGGAGAGAACUAGAAAGAAGGGGAAGUAAUAAGGAGGUUCACAUGAAAAAAAAGGACGUAGAAUGAGAAUACAAUUCACGAAUGAUGUUGAACUAAGCCAAACACAAUACACUCUGGACGACUAUCUUCUGGCGCACAAGAAAUAACACCCUGUUUUGGAAACGUGUCCUGUUUAAUUCUAAAUUUCGAUUUGAUAUUUGUAAAUGCAACAUUAACUGUAAAUUUGAUUUUUAAUUUCCCAUCACAUUAUAGUCUGUCUGUAUUGAUCGGAAUAUCUAGAAAUAAUAAAAAAAUUAAAAUGAGUGAAUCGUCUGGAAAUGUUAGGACAUCACAAGCCAGACUUGAGAAUGCGAUGUUUCAAUAGAAAGUGACAGCCUCUUCCAAGUAAGCAACGGCCUAACCCUAACCAAUUGGGUACAAACAUUUGUAUCCAAAGUUCAAUUUCCUACUGAAAUUGUUUAUUUGCUAAUUAUCUAAAGUUGCGUAACAACAAUCAUGAGCGAUUCUGUGUGGCAAUUCUACAUUCCCUUUGUUUUUCCGUUAUAAAUCAGCAGUUGUGACUUUUGAUUUUCCAAUACCAGCUUUUUCCUUAACUAAAUAAACUGUAUAAGGAUGAA